GUUUAGUAAGGAGGGAUUCUAGAGGCCCAUGGCUUCAGAGAGCGGUGGGGCUGAGGGUGGUGGGUGGCAGACUGUAGGUAAGGAAAAGGGGGGCUCUAAGAGAGAGGCAUCGAGCGAAAGACCCGAAAUGUCAGGAGACGAAGGAAGUAAAGUUAGGAGAACUAGAAUUAUUGAAGAAUUUGUCGUGCUGUUUAAAGUUAAAGGAGUAAAUCAAGGAGAUGCAGGAUUUAGAGCAGUGAAUCCAUUAAAAAUUACCACCGCUUUG